rnacentral:sRNA from 1 species
ACAGGGAGCUCUACCAUCAAGUCAGGGGAAUGCCCACCACCGCUAUCAUCACUAUUACCACUACUUCUGCCACAGCCAUCACAUUCACCUCUACCUCCACCAUCACCAUCACUACUCAAGUUGGAGAAAUACAGGCCAGGGGAAGGGGAUAAAGGGAGGGCAAACAAAGGUAAUUCCAAAGGAACAUGAGCACCAAUAAUGCUUUAAGAGUGUUUUGGAAAUCAAGAGAAUGGAAUAUGAAAACAUCAGCAUUUGAUUCAGAUGAGGAUAUUCUACUUUUACCCAAAAGAAAACGUUUUAGAAAGAAAAAGUCAAGACCAGUGAGACACACCAAACGCCAUGAAGAGGAGCAGGUCUAUGAGCAACGGACCACAUUACCCUGUUCUAUAUGCAAGCACGAAAUUGACCUACCUGGUAUUUUUCUCCAUAAGAAGCAACAUAUAGCUCUGGCCACACUGGGUUUCCAAUGGAUGGGUAGAAAGAAACCACAGCCCUCAGUGAUUGCUGUUCAGAGACAGUUCAUGAUUUCUAAACUAUUGUCAUCUUUUAUGUUGACUGAAAAAACCCUACAGAGCAUUAAUAAUGCUUUUGAGCUGCUUUGGAAAAAACAAAUACCAGCAUACUACAAGAUUUUUGAUAACAUUGACAGGAGUGUCAUACAUUCUCAAAAAAUAUGUCAUCUAUUAAUUAAAGGAGUGGGCAUUUGUGAAGACAGGAAUUCUACAUGGAAAGCUGACAUGAAUGAUAAAUUCACUGUAGUGAGUAAUUUUGGGAAUAAACCUAAUGUGUGUUUUUUUGGUUUGUUCGAUGGACAUCAUGGUGCCUCAGCGGCAGAGCUGACAUCAAUGGAACUCCCAGUUUUACUUCUCCAUCAGCUUUCCAAAUUUGAUCCUUCUUACCAAAUGACAACUGAUGAGCAACAAAUAAUCAAUUCCUUUUACACUGUGUUUAGAGAAGAAUACACAGCAAUAGAAGACCUCUUUUCUGCCAUAAACAAAACAGAAGCAGUGAGGUGUGAGUAUGAGGACAUACACAAAGCCUUUGCAAAAGCAUUUUGGAGAAUGGAUAGGCUUUUAGGUCUUGGAAGAAAAGAAGUGUCCAGGGUUCAAUGGAGUGGCUGCUCUGCAGUUACUUGUAUAUUGGAAGGCAAACCUAAAAGUCCUUAUGCUCAUAAGAAUUGCAAAAGAAAAAAUAACCAUGAUGGGUUGGCAGAGAGCUCCCCUUCCCAGGAGAUGCCAAAAAUAAUUUCUGGAAUAUUACAUGUUGCAAACACUGGUAUGUACACUGAAUAGCACCAAAUAACACCUUUAUGUUUUUGGUUCCUCGCAGC